UGCACUUCCGAUCUGUCAUCUUGGAUGUAUACAGCAACUCCACUCUGGCUCCUUUCCUUUCUGUCUGUUCGCAGUAUGGCAUAUUUUGGUCCGUGUACUUCUCCAUCCUCUAUAUCUGGGCUGAGGUGAGUUUCUAGGAGUGUUGUGCAUAGGACUU